UACGUAGGGGGCAAGCGUUGUCCGGAUUUAUUGGGCGUAAAGGGCGUGUAGGCGGCCAUGCAGGUCAGCUGUGAAAACUCGAGGCUCAACCUCGAGACGUCGGUUGAAACCGUAUGGCUAGAGUCCGGAAGAGGAGAGUGGAAUUCCCGGUGUAGCGGUGAAAUGCGCAGAUAUCGGGAAGAACACCCAUGGCGAAGGCAGCUCUCUGGGCCGUUACUGACGCUGAGACGCGAAAGCGUGGGGAGCAAACAGG
rnacentral:rRNA from 1 species